rnacentral:rRNA from 1 species
AGAGUUUGAUCAUGGCUCAGGACGAAACGCUGGCGGCGUGCUUUAACACAUGCAAGUCGAACGGUGAUGAGGAGCUUGCUUCUCUGAUCAGUGGCGAACGGGUGAGUAACACGUGAGCAAUCUGCCCUUGACUCUGGGAUAACUGCGGGAAACUGUAGCUAAUACCGGAUACGACCUUGGAAGGCAUCUUUCUUGGUGGAAAGAAUUUUGGUCAAGGAUGAGCUCGCGGCCUAUCAGCUAGUUGGUGAGGUAAUGGCUCACCAAGGCGACGACGGGUAGCCGGCCUGAGAGGGUGACCGGCCACACUGGGACUGAGACACGGCCCAGACUCCUACGGGAGGCAGCAGUGGGGAAUAUUGCACAAUGGGCGCAAGCCUGAUGCAGCAACGCCGCGUGAGGGACGAAGGCCUUCGGGUUGUAAACCUCUUUUAGUAGGGAAGAAGUGACUGGGUUUUCCUGGAAGUGACGGUACCUGCAGAAAAAGCACCGGCUAACUACGUGCCAGCAGCCGCGGUAAUACGUAGGGUGCAAGCGUUGUCCGGAAUUAUUGGGCGUAAAGAGCUCGUAGGCGGUUUGUUGCGUCUGCUGUGAAAACCCGAGGCUCAACCUCGGGCCUGCAGUGGGUACGGGCAGACUAGAGUGCGGUAGGGGAGAUUGGAAUUCCUGGUGUAGCGGUGGAAUGCGCAGAUAUCAGGAGGAACACCAAUGGCGAAGGCAGAUCUCUGGGCCGUAACUGACGCUGAGGAGCGAAAGCAUGGGGAGCGAACAGGAUUAGAUACCCUGGUAGUCCAUGCCGUAAACGUUGGGAACUAGAUGUGGGGACCAUUCCACGGUCUCCGUGUCGCAGCUAAACGCAUUAAGUUCCCCGCCUG